ACUCGCUUCGGCGGAACAUAUACCACAAUUGGGACAGACAGUACAGAGAAGAUCAGCAUGGCCCCAGCGCAAGGAUGACACGCAAAAUGGUGCAGAGUUAAACAAACAA